GACGGAGGAUGCAAGUGUUAUCCGGAAUCACUGGGCGUAAAGCGUCUGUAGGUCGUUCAAUAAGUCAACUGUUAAAUCUUGAGGCUCAACUUCAAAAUCGCAGUCGAAACUAUUAAACUAGAGUAUAGUAGGGGUAAAGGGAAUUUCCAGUGGAGCGGUGAAAUGCGUAGAUAUCGGGAGGAACACCAGUGGUGAAGGCGACUACCUGGCCUGUUCUUGACGCUGAGGCGCGAAAGCUAGGGGAGCAAACGGG
rnacentral:rRNA from 1 species